CAGAAAGGAAACAUAUCAAGCAGAACCAAGCCAGCCAUGACAGAGGGCAUGAUAACCUUCAGUUCAGGUUACAUGAACCCAAAAUCAAAACUAGCAGAGAUCCCCAAGAGAGGAAGAAUACCCCAGGUAGAGAGACAGAGAUGAAACAUAUCAAGCAGAACCAAGCCAGCCAUGACAGAGGGCAUGAUAACCUUCAGUUCAGGUCACAUGAACCCAAAAUCAAAACCAGCAGAGAUCCCCAAGAGAGGAAGAAUACCCCAGGUCCCAGCAUAGUUUAUCAAAACUUUCCAGGUCCGACAACAAGAGAAGCUCCUCCUCUCCCCCCUAGA